AAGUGCUUCCAUCUCACAAGGAGGAACUGAAUACAGCACUGACAUCUUUACAAAACAAGCUCAAACAUACAAAGAAAAUGAAAGCAAAGUGUGAUAAAACAGUUCAACACAUCAAGUCUCAAGCUGAGCACACAGAGCGUCAGAUUAAAGAGGAGUUUGAGAAGCUUCAUCAGUUUCUCAGAGAUGAAGAAGAAGCUACAAUCACUGCACUGAGGGAGGAAGAGGAGCAGAA